rnacentral:lncRNA from 1 species
CUCCUGGCUCUCAGUGUCCUCAACACCGCAAUAUCAAAAGCGUCUGUUCCAUCCCAGACGAGGUUCUUCUCAGUGUCACACCUGCCCAUAUCUCGCAGACCCGUGGGGCCAGCCAUCGUACUUCCACGACAAUUUUAGCAAGAUUUUGCUCCAUCAGACACCUUCCCAGGAUCACCAAAAGGGUAAUCCAUCACAAAUCACCACGGGCAGAAACACCAACCAGCUCCACAACACACAGGUCCCCAAGACCAGAGCCCCCAACUCCUCUGGGGAAGGCUUGGGGCACCGCAGGCGCUGUUGUCCUUUCCGGGUCCGAUUCGCUGACGAGACCCUACGAGACAGCACACUCCGCUAUUUGGAGCGACGCUGUACAGUCCCGAACAACAUCAAGAGCAGGGCCACUCUGCUGCCGGAGGUCUCCAACCAGGCGUUCGGGAACGUUCAGAAAUGGCUGGAGAAUUUGCCCAGAGCCCUGCCCCCCAGGGCCAAGGAGGAAGCCAGGCCCAGCGCCUGGUGCUGGGACCGCCCCCGCCUACUGCGCCAGGAGCGGCAGGGCUACCUUUCUGAGGACGCCUCAAUGAAGAACAGGCUGCCAGGGCCACUCACCUCCAGGGCCACCACCCAGAGGCAAAGGGGGGCCCUCAGAAACUCCCCGGAUACCCCCAACAUCCUGGAUCAGGUGGGCAGACUGCCCUGCUCCUGGAGGCCACAGCUGGUGAGCACCUGCUGGCAGCUGCCACCCAGUGCUCCACGUGUGCCCGCGGGGGCUCGCAGUGGCCGGGACCGUGUUCAGUUCCUGCGUCUCCCUGGAGGUGCAGCAGGAGGGGUGGGCUCAAAGCUCACAGGCUGGCCUGGCCCCAGCUGCGCCCGCAGGCCCUGGCGCCUGUGCGCCUCUCAGUUGCCUCAUCUGUAGCAGGGGGCUAGGGCGCGGUCUGAAUCCUGCUGGCCCCAGGCAGCCCCGCCUCCUGCCUGAGGUCCCUGCAGCGCCCAGCUGGUCCUCCUCACUCUAGGAGUCCUUCCUGCCCAACUUGGUGCUGCAGUCCAUCCUGAAGUGAGGCCACCCCAAGGGCUACCAGCUCCUCCUGCCUCCCACAAUCCUGCAGCAGGUGCAGAGGUGAAUGCCCACCGGAGCCCCAGCCCAGGGGAGCACACAGUCCAGGCAGUGAGGAGAGUCUCCCUUGCCCCACAAAUAAACGCACAUUCCAGGUGGCUGGGAUCUGCCACUAGGUCUCCGUUCCAGCCUCUCAGGU